rnacentral:lncRNA from 1 species
UGUUUUUAAGCUGAGGAGCGAGUGGAUCAGAGAGCAGCUGACCUCACAGAGCCAUGGUUCAGUGACUCAUUCAGACAUGUCCUUGAGUAGUUGUUCUGGAUUUCCUCGAUGGUAGCAAGGUGAACUCAUGAGGUACUGGUCCAGAAAAGAACACUAGUGACUAUGCCCAUUGUCACUGCUCAGAAGUGUUCUGGAAUCUUGUUUCCCGCCCUGAAAUAAGUUGAUGGCAGUUAUGGCAUGGGCUGAUCUACCCAGUCAGCAAGGCCAGAUUGCAGAGAAACUCAGAGUCUAGGAAAAUGAAUGUCUAGUAACAUUCCUCAAAUAGUCCUACCAGAAGACACAAAGAUGAUGCAUCCGGAUGAAGAAUAUAUCACUGAGAUUAAUGGCCCUGGGUUGCAGCCAAAAGCAUCUCAGAGGGUAUGAUGCAUUUCCUGACUGUGGUCGGCUUUCCAUGGGUGAAACAGAAAAGUCUUCAAAUAUCCUCACCAACUGCUUUCCUAGAUUUUUCAGCCAGUUACUUGACCAUAUUAGGAAAAGAAAGCAUACUACACCCAUCUCAGAGCUGGCCCCUUGAGGAAGCCACACCGCCACAGGAACCAUUGUAAUCUCUGCAUCAAGUUCAAGUUCACAAAUAAGCAAAGAGGUGUGUACUACUAUUUGACACUUUGGUGUAUUGGAGCACAAUUUGACAUGAGUAAGGUUAUUAAGGUUUACAUUUAUUUUCUUAAUUGUGUUCAAAUGUAAUUCCUUUAAGUUCCUAGAAGAAACACAUUUUAUUAUAUUGGUAU